rnacentral:rRNA from 1 species
GACGAACGCUGGCGGCGUGCUUAACACAUGCAAGUCGAGCGGUAAGGCCCUUCGGGGUACACGAGCGGCGAACGGGUGAGUAACACGUGAGUAAUCUGCCCAUCACUUCGGGAAACUCCGGGAAACCGGUGCUAAUACCGAAUAUGACCACUUCAGGCAUCUGAUGGUGGUGGAAAGUUCCGGCGGUGAUGGAUGAGCUCGCGGCCUAUCAGCUUGUUGGUGGGGUAGUGGCCUACCAAGGCUUCGACGGGUAGCCGGCCUGAGAGGGUGACCGGCCACACUGGGACUGAGACACGGCCCAGACUCCUACGGGAGGCAGCAGUGGGGAAUAUUGGACAAUGGGCGAAAGCCUGAUCCAGCAACGCCGCGUGAGGGAUGACGGCCUUCGGGUUGUAAACCUCUUUCAGCAGGGACGAAGCGCAAGUGACGGUACCUGCAGAAGAAGCACCGGCCAACUACGUG